ACUGCCCCUAGAGGAUUUACAGGUAUGGCUGCUGUGUCACAUGUGCGUCAGGAGGUGGCAGAGAGGAGAGAGGCUAUGUCUAUGCUCAAUGUUCUGACCUGUGAACAUCUGAGUGAUUAGUAGCCUACCAUU